AUAUACAAAUAAUUAAGCAAAAAAAAAAAAAAAUUAAAUUUAUUUAACUACAAAAAAAAACAACUUUAACAACUUGCAACAUUUUCUAAAACAACAUUAUUAUUCACAAUUAUUGAUUCAUCUGUUUAAAAGGAAACAAAUAAAAGCACUACAAGACACGUUUUAUAAAAAAAAACAACGUUUAACAAAAUUUCAAGGUGUAACGUUAACCCAUGUGAUUAAAAAAAAAAAAAGUUUAAAACAAAAUAAAAUCUACAGAAAAAUCUGUUUUAUUUCUACAUUUUUAAAACCAUAAUAGUCAAAACUGCUAACAGAACGACUACAGCAGUCAUAUAAUCAAACAUAAAAAAUUCACUAAAAACUCCCCACAGAAGCUGGCAUAAACGUAAGAGAGAAAGAGACUUUAUAGUCGUAUUUAACGAAUUGAAUUUGGUUUUAUUUUCGGUGCGCGGUUUUCCAUAUUUACUGGUAGUGUCGAAUAGCGCAAAGGAGUUCUACAAUAGCAGUAAUCUGCAACUUUAGAAUCUACCGCUUUUUCAGCCAUUAAAAAAACAAACUCUUCAACAUACAUUUAGUGAAUGUAUACUUAAAUAAAAAAAAGGCAUCAACAAGUUUUAUAUUUCUCAACUAAAACUGAGAAGGAACAAAAUAUUUCAAACUUUUACUUAUCAACAUAAAACAACAAAUUAUUAUUUACUAAUAUCAACAAAAGUCCCAAGAAAGUCCUUA
rnacentral:lncRNA from 1 species